GAUGAACGCUGGCGGCGUGCCUAAUACAUGCAAGUCGAGCGAACAGACGAGGAGCUUGCUCCUCUGACGUUAGCGGCGGACGGGUGAGUAACACGUGGAUAACCUACCUAUAAGACUGGGAUAACUUCGGGAAACCGGAGCUAAUACCGGAUAAUAUAUUGAACCGCAUGGUUCAAUAGUGAAAGACGGUUUUGCUGUCACUUAUAGAUGGAUCCGCGCCGCAUUAGCUAGUUGGUAAGGUAACGGCUUACCAAGGCAACGAUGCGUAGCCGACCUGAGAGGGUGAUCGGCCACACUGGAACUGAGACACGGUCCAGACUCCUACGGGAGGCAGCAGUAGGGAAUCUUCCGCAAUGGGCGAAAGCUUGACGGAGCAACGCCGCGUGAGUGAUGAAGGACUUCGGAUCGUAAAACUCUGAUAUUAGGGAAGAACAAAUGUGUAAGUAACUAUGCACGUCUUGACGGUACCUAAUCAGAAAGCCACGGCUAACUACGUG
rnacentral:rRNA from 1 species